UACGUAGGGUGCGAGCGUUGUCCGGAAUUAUUGGGCGUAAACGGCUCGUAGGCGGUCUGUCGCGUCGAUCGUGAAAACUUGGGGCUUAACCCUGAGCUUGCGGUCGAUACGGGCAUGACUGGAGUUCGGCAGGGGAGACUGGAAUUCCUGGUGUAGCGGUGAAAUGCGCAGAUAUCAGGAGGAACACCGGUGGCGAAGGCGGGUCUCUGGGCCGAUACUGACGCUGAGGAGCGAAAGCGUGGGGAGCGAACAGG
rnacentral:rRNA from 1 species